GGGCUAGUGGCGCAAUGGAUAACGGGUCUGAGUACGAAUCACGAGAUUCCAGGUUCGACUCUUGGCUAGCUCG
rnacentral:tRNA from 1 species